UGGUCCAUGGAUAGGGUAAGAUGAUGUAUUGUACUUUGCAGUAGGCCCCCACGUAUUCAAUCGCCUCACUUAGCAUCUGAAAACAAUCAAACAUGCUGCUGAUUUUGGUUAAUAAAAGGCGCGCUUCAUUCGAUUAGAGGGAACCUGUCAUCCCAAAAGCCUUGCAGAGCUUUAAAAAAAAAAAAAAAAAAAAAAAAAAAGGAAGACAAAAAUGAUGGAGAGGUGUUUAGGGGUUCAAAGAUCGAGAAAGGUUUAUCGAGCUUUACGCAACUGCAAGGUCACAGUUCUCUGCCUCGUCCUCACGGUCGUCGUCCUACGGGGUAUUAUCGGAGCCGGUAAAUUUGGCACUCCGGAGCAGGACUUGACAGAAAUCCGUAAUCACUUCUAUUUUCACUCCAGAAAGCGCGGCGCUGAGUCGCAUCGAGUCCUUAAAGACAAGCUCCAAAUGACGUCGGCGUCUUCUGAAACUUCCAACAGCACCAACUCAACCUUUCCGAAAGCAAGCACCAAUUACAAUGAAUUCGAUUUCAGCGAGAUUUCGGACGAUAAAGAAGAAGAUGAAAAACCGGACUGGCACAAGCACUACUCUCUCGGACCAAAAAUCUCAGACUGGGACGAGCGAAAAUUGAAAUGGCUGAAAGACAACUCAAAAUUUUCGAAUUUUGUUGGAGACAAGAAGCCACGAGUCCUACUUGUUACAGGAUCUUCACCUAGAGCGUGCGAGAAUCCGGUAGGUGAUCAUUAUCUAUUGAAGUCAGUGAAAAACAAGAUUGAUUAUUGUAGAAUACACGGGAUAGAAAUAUUUUAUAAUACGGCUCUUCUAGAUGCUGAAAUGGCAGGCUUCUGGGAGAAGCUUCUGUUGUUAAGAAACUUAAUGCUUUCUCACCCAGCGGUAGAGUUGUUCUGGUGGAUGGAUAGUGAAGCAGUGUUUACUGAUAUGACGUUUGAGGUUCCAUGGAACAGGUAUAAAGACUACAAUUUGGUGAUGCACGGAUGGAAUGAGAUGGUUUAUGAUCAAAAGAAAUGGACUGGACUGAAUACUGGGAGCUUUGUGUUGAGGAAUUGUCAGUGGUCGUUGGAUAUUCUUGAUUCAUGGGCUUCAAUGGGACCAAAAGGAAUAAUUCUGGAUAGAGCUGGGGAGGUAUUAAACAAGGAGCUUACGGAUAGGCCGUCCUUCAAAGCAGUAGCAGAUGAUCAGUCAGCAAUGGUUUACUUGUUGGCUAAUCAGAGGGAUAAGUGGGGUGAUAAGGUUUAUCUUGAGAGCGAAUAUUAUUUGCAUGGUGAUAGGGGGAUUUUGGUUGAUAGGUACGAGGAAAGGAUUGAGAAGUAUCAUUCAGGUUUAGUUGAUCAUAGGUGGCCUCUAGUAACUCAUUUUGUGGGUUGCAAGCCUUGUGCCAAGUUUGGGGAUUACCCGGUUGAAAGGUGCUCGAAGCAGAUGGACCGAGCUUUUAACUUUGGUGAUUAUCAGAUACUUAAGAUUUUUGGCUUCACUCAUAAUUCUUUGGUCAGUAAACAUGUUAAGCGAAUUCGAAAUGGGACAAGCAAUCAACUUGAGGUUAAAAAUCAGCUUGGAUUACUACAACCAUCAUUUAAGAAAACUAUCAGGGUAUCCUCUACUUGAUCAAACUCUUUUGCUACUUUAUUGCAUAGAUUUAAUGUAUUGUAUUAGUUGCACUAUUUCUAUCCAUGCAAUUUAUCACAUUUGGUGGUGAUAAUACUCCUUUGUUCCUUAAUGAGUGUUAGAUUUACUAAUAUGUAGUCUUUCCCAAGGGAAAACACAGUGCAAGGCAUGUACAUAUUGAUGUGCUAUGAACUAGCUUUAAUGGUGGUUAUUAUUGUUGAUGCAGUGCACCAACUGAUAAUCCCUGUGGUGAUUCCUUAUUUUAAGGAUGGUUGGAUGAUCCAAAUCCCAGUCUAUGAUAUUUUUGCUGGCAGGCAUUCUGUCAUAUGGUUUAUAAGGAACAUGUUCAGGAUGUUUAUAUGUAUUUAAUGUGUAACUUAUCUAAGCCAAGUUAUUGGAAAUUCAUUCAAGAGCUCCUCCUUUCUUUGGUCAUUGGGCACAUCGUUAAAGCAUGGUUGUUGAAAUAGUGACUCUGAAAUCACUUAGUAAAUCCUCUGGUGAACUUAUGUGUAGAUCCUCUUGUUGAAAUUCUAUAUUUGGCUUGAAGGUUUGCUGAAACUGCUGGUUGCUAUUUUUUGUCUCUAUCUCUAUGCAAAACCACUUGAUUCAUUUGUGCCCUUUUUGUAUAUGGAAUGAAAAUAGGAUAAAUUUAGUCUUUGAAUCAAAAGGAAUUUGCCCGAGGCAAAAUUUCAGUUAAGCUGUCUCUUACUGGAGUGAAGUGCAGAGAUGAUUAAACUUGAGUUAUGUAAUUAUAAUCUUUUUAAGCCUCUCUAACACUUGGUGUUUAUCCGAUGAGGAAAUUUAUAGGUCAAAUCAUCCUGUAGAAGUCAGCAACUUGUUGGUGAAGCCUGCCUCCAGUUACACUUAACAUAUUACAUGCCUGCCCACCCUACUUUACUCCAUGACUAAUUCUAUUCUACCAGGCUUAUGUCUUGCUAAUUAAAUCAGCAUUAGCAUAUUUUGCAAUGAUGAUGACUCAAAUAUGUGAAGGGUUCACCAGACAUCAUCAUCAUGAACCUCAAGAAAUCAUACUCUUGAAAGAAUCUUAGCAAUGUCUACGGGCUAGACAUGGAGUUUCGAGUUCCAGAAUAGACACUAGUGCCAAAGCUUGGUUGCGGUUCUGAUAUGAACAGCUUAUUCACUCAUUGAUUGGCUAUCAUUGCUAGUUAAUGUUUAUUUGCAUAUCUGUGUGAGUUUUUUCUUUCUUUUAUAUGGUAUUUGCAUUUUUAGCUAUUAAUAAUAAAGCAUAUCAGAGUAUGGGAUUUGCAUAGCUGUUUAAAAUAGGUAUUUUACCUACUUUGCUGCUGGGUGGUUUUGUUCUAAAUGUCGGGUUAUGGUAGAAGCUAAACGUUGAUCAAUAGCUCAUAUUCAGGUAUUUUAUCCCGCACAGUUGAAAUAUUCAGGUUAUGGUAGAAAGCUAAAUGUCGAUCAAUAGCUGCUGUGGACUUCAAUGAACUUGGCAUGGUUCAACUGUGCGGUUGUUAUUCCAAAUAGUUUGUUGUUGCCAUUAUUUUACAAAGACCAUCUCUCAUUCUUUGGUGUAAAAAAUACGUGAUUUGCCAAAAUAAAAAGUUAGGAUUUCUUAGUUUGUUAAUAAUAAUAAUAAUUUUGCAUACAUAUAAAUUAAUGUAUGAAUAAUACGAUCAUCUGUCUCGUAACAAAAGUUGUUGCUAUAUGAUGUUAAUUGUGUGUAAGAGCAAAAUUGGAAGGAUGCCUGCCCUGGCAGGUUGAAAGGUUUCCUGUGCCUCUAAAGGAAAAAUGGAUGAUGAGGAGACAUUUCUAAAACAAGUGUUUCAGACUCCGGCAACUCUGAACAACCACAGCAGCAUGGAAAAGAUCCGACAUUCUGUCAAACUCUUAUUAAAGAAGUCACUGGAUUAUAUUUACGAAUAUACUUUGUCUCCUGGACACCAAUUCUGUUUGCUCUCUGCCAUUCAAAAUGGCACUUUUCUUCUCUGUCUUGCUUGAUUUAAUAACAAUCAUUCAGACUGAUGAUGCUGAUUCAUACGUAGUUUUACUGAAGCAUGGUUCAUCGAUGCAUCACACAACCAGGUACCGUACUAAUUAGCUUUAUAUUUACAUUUGUAAAUUACUUUACUGGUUGUCAUUUGUGUUGUCAAUAUUAUCAAUCAGCUAUUGAGUAGCUUAAAUUAUACGGUGUACCAAUUCUAGUAUAUUAACUGGUUAAUUUUUUGUGAAAUUAUUUCUAGCCCUAAACUGGUGCUUGUUGAUGGUUCUGGAAAUAGCAAAGUCAAGAGUUUGGCAGAUCCCUCAUGUUUCUGGUUGUUGCCUGUUUAUCAUUAAGAAUUAGGCAUUCCAUAAAUGAUGGGUGGCAAGGUCAGGUGUUUUAGGCUGUGUUGAUUGAUGAAGAGGGAAACAUUCCUUGUGGGUUGUAUGGAAAAUUCUCUGGAAUCAUUUUUUUUUAACUUUCUCCAUUGUGAAAGAAAUUAAGUUUUAGAUGAAAAGGUUGGUUGGGAACAUUCAUGUAUUGUUUUCAAUAUUCAGUUACCUAUUAUAUAGGGUCCCUACUGUCACAUGGACAAUAUGAACUGCUAUCAUGAACUGGUGGAAUCAAUCUGCCUGUUUAGUAUAAUAAAUUUUAUUUUUCAGCCCUUGCGUGUGGAAGUUAAAUGUUUUGAAGCAGAUUUUAUGGUUGAGAAUGUGAAAUUUCUGAGUUGGUUAUCUUGUUCAGAGUCCAGGUGCACCAUCUAAAAGUUUUUCUGCUGCAAUUAAAUUUAAGGAUGAAUAAAAAUUGGCAUCUUUCUUCAAAACUUUCAAAUCAAUAAAUCAUGUUAUUGCAGUCGGUUAUUAUCUGUGGUGCCUGUCUUGCAUUUAUAGUGACAUUUGAAAAUACUAGUGAGUUGAUAUGUGUAGCUAGCUCAUUGAUGUCGAGGUUUCCAUAAUUAUAGGGUAUCCAUGCGCAUGUUGAUCUAAUGUAUUUUGAUGAUGGAAUUGUCAUUGCCUCCCUGGAGACUUUGUGGUGUGAUGCAUUUUACCAGAGUCAAAGAAGCUUCUUCAACUGAUGAGAGAAGAGUAGAGCAUCUACCAGCCGAAAAGUUUACAGUUUCCUUAACUCCUGGGUCCUUGGUUCUAAUGUCAGGAGAAGCUCACUGACAUUGGAAGCUUGAGAUAACUCGCAAGCCAGGCUUUCAGAUAUGGGAAGGGAAGGGAAGGGAAGGGAAGGGAAGGAGCUAAAUCGAAAAGGAGAACACCAUAACCCUAAGAAAAGUUUGCCUUGUUGAGUAGGGCACGUUUACCUGCAUAUUUUGGGUGCAUAUUGUUAUUCUUCAAUUUUCAAGUUCAUUUUUCACAGAAAAUCCUAUAGAAAGUUGUAAUUUCCAAAUUGGCACUAUAUAACAUUAUUGUUCAUACA